rnacentral:lncRNA from 1 species
GUCUCUAAUCGACCAUCUCCUCCAUUUUAGGGUUCUUCAUCAAAAAUUAAUUGAUCGGCAGUUUCAAGUUCAUCAUCUCUGUAAUCGAUCGGCCAUCUCCUCCAUUUUUUUUGUGUUUUUAUCAAAUAAAAGAAGACAGAAGAUAGAAGAUUAAAGGGCGACGACGAAGAACACUCUUUACCGUCAUCAUCGUCUUCGUCGGAACGGCGAGCAACCAAGGGUUGCGAAACCAAAGAAAAAAACGGAAAAGACGAGCGGGUUGAAAAAGAACUAAACGAGGUUGCAUCUACAAAUGCGCUGAAGAUCUAUACAUAAUGCUGUAUACAGGGGAAAAUGAUGUUUGAAACUGAAGUUGGAACCGGGUUGCUGCAUUUGUAUACGAAAGAUCUACAACCUAGUAUGCUUAUUGGUCUUGCGAUUGUCAAUUUUUUUGCUUCUAUGCUAAAUUAUGAGGAGGUUAAGAGAACGUGAUGAACACAACCCUGCCUUUUCUGCCAUACAGAUUGCUUUCUAAGUACUAGGCUAUGACGAAGUAAAGCGAAGUGGACGCUACUACGGAAAAAAUAUGUUAUGCAGCUAGGGACAUCAAUGAUAGAAUAAUGGCAGUAGCAGAAGAAUAUGAUAAGGCUACGAAGUCUUUUGUUACCUAGAUUUAUUUUUCUAUUUUGGUACAUGAAACUUGUUUAGAAAAUGCUGGUUUUUUAGUUUAGAAGUUGUUAGACUUUUGUUUAUAUUGCUGGUACUUUGUUUUAGAGGAUUUAACUAAAUGUUUUGUUUUGGUUAAGUAUCUUUUUGUUUAUGUAUUGUUUGUGUACUU